AUUGCUGCAGGAAGAGAACAACAGAAAAUAGGCCAUACAUUAAAACCCGUACUUCAUCCCAGCAAGUAAAAGUUGAAUCUGAAGGAUUAUUUCAUCACAGAAUCACAGAAUGGCCUGGGUUGAAAAGGACCACAGUGCUUAUCCAGUUCCAACCCCCUGCUAUGUGCAGUGCAGGGUGACCAACCAGCAGACCAGGCUGCCCAGAGCCACAUCCAGCCUGGCCUUGAAUGCCUCCAGGGAUGGGGCAUCCACAGCCUCCUUUGGCAACCUGUUCCAGUGAACAGUAAGAUAGGCAAACCUAUCAAUAUCUAUGUAGAACUUGAAUGUUUUUUCUCCAUUCUUCCAGUACAGAUUAUCCUAAACCCUUUGGCACUGAAUCACUUAAAAUUGAUGGUGACUUCCUGCAGCAUGACAGGGAUGCUGUUGCACAGAGGCCUUGCCAAGGCUGCAGUCACACAGCUGGAUUCUGCAGCUGGUGCUACAGAAGCUGUUGGAGCAGAAGAGACAAAAACUGCCACAGAUGCACUCUGUGCAUUGAAAGAGUCAAGCCUGAGAAUCAUCUGGCAUGUGCAGUGUUGUUAAGGCAGAAGUGCUUGGCAGAGCUGCUGGAUGGAGCUUUGUUCAUAUGAAAAUGUCUACAGGCUCUCAAACAUCUAUACAGUACACAGAGACCCCAGCAAACAGCCCCAAGUGUGCUUCUCACUUCUUAUGAGCAGCUGGCUCCUCUUAAAGAGAAACUCCGGUUUAGAAUUAAGGCUGUUACUUAAAUAUAGCUAAAUGAUAGUUAAAACUGCAACUCAUAUAUAAGUAAGGAACAACACCAAGCCCAAAACAAAAGUCACAACAGAGGAUCCAUAACGCUGUACAGAACACCACAUUGGUAGGUAGAAUGCCAUCUUGUGAGCAACCACUGCAAUUUUCCCUGCACAAAUCAGCAUGGAACUAUAAAGGAGAUACCAGAUGUGGGAAAGGCAAUAAGGCAGAGAUCUCAAGAAUUGCACGAGCCUUUGUCACACUGUAAAGUUAUCAGCAGCCUCUUAUUUCCACGAGAAGAUGUGAGACACAUCCAAGCAAAAAAAAGACACCAGAAAGAGGAAGUGGUGCAGUGCUAUUUUGUGCACAAAAGAACACAAAGCACAUUGCCGUGCUGUCAAGCUGACAAAAUGAACUGACUGGAUAGAAAAGACAGGCUGUACAUUCCCAUCUGCCAUCAGAACAUGAACGCUGACAGAAAACAGUAAGAAACAGGGAGAAGAAAUGAAACGUGAAUGAAAUCUGCAGAACCAGAACAACAAAAACUCACCUCUGUGAGAGCUUUAUCCAGACUGGCAGCCAGCUUACCAAUGUCAUACAGAAGCUGAGUAGGUGCAGCAAUUUUAGCCACAGGUGUGCCCGGCAGGUAAGUCAGCAGUCUGACCACGUACUUUUGGUUUCCAGGUCUGCUACCUGACAAGCAGAGAUACUGUCAGCCACUUCAGCAUACUCUACUGAGUGUUAGUUAAUGCAAGAGGCGGAUGGUUUCUUCACUCUCAGAUGGGGCUGAUAAAACUGAUCUCACUCAAAGAUUUGAUUGACCAGAACGUGAUACGGUGAUGUGCAAACCUUGCCACACCUGCAGGCUGUGCUGGAUGCGUGUGCCUGGAAUUAACCCUGCACACAGCAGCUUCGCUCAGUGCCUCCAGCCCCUCACCUGCAGAGCUAUGCAGGUGCCCUCAGGAAUCCCAGCUUGUAUGUGGAAGUUACAGUGAAAAUGAAAGCAAAGCGUUAACAGAUUUUCUUCCACGCACUGUUUAAGUGAUUUAUUGUGGCAUCAGAUCAUAGAUGGGCUGGAACUGUAUUACACCAAUCUGUGCACAAACAGGCAAGUCAUUUAUAUCAUGAUUUGGUCACUGUGGCUUUUUUUUUUAGUGCACAGAUGUGUCUGUUUUUUCAAGCGAUAUGGGAGCUGUUUGCAGAGUUAAGCAUUCCUCUCCUUCAUUUGCUCAGCUGCUGGCACGUGAAGUUUGGACUUUUACAGGCACAGUCACCUGACACGGAUCCAUCCAUCCCCUACCAGCUACACUGCAACCUGAGGUUCUACUUUUGGCUACACUGCAACCUGAGGUUCUACUUUUGAUAGCCAAAUUUAACCUCAAUUUUGGAUACUCCUUCUGUGCAAUUUUGUCACCACUACAACUGGUGCUGCAUCUAAAUUACCAACCUAAAACACCUUUGAAUCAGUAGACCCAGGAAACCUAUCAGGGCAAUUGAACUGAAAAAACAGCUGCAGGAUAACCCGCCCUUCCCUAUACUUGCAGUUCUCACUAAAACAACCAUCUUCCCACUAGCAAAACCAGCAGCGAGCCAUCCUGCACCAUACCUCAAAGCCCACACCCACAGGUGCUUGCUGCAGUGCACGCAUCUCACCAGCACUGCUGCUCUUAGGCUGCUGAAGGUCCAGCAUCUCUGUGGGCUUUUCUGCACUACGCCGUGCAUUUGAUGGAGCUCAGCUCUGGCAUUCUCAGCACAGCAUCUGUGCACCCUGAAGUUACUCCUUCUAGCUCAACAGCUGAAAGGGAGGUGUGCAAUGGAUUGGGAGCUAUAGAAGUGCCAGAGCUGCAGUGCAGUGCUGCAGCUCCUCACCUCCCUCCUGCACAGACAUGAUGCCGCCGUCCUUUGUGAGCCGCGGUGUAGCUGAGGGGAAGCCGUGGGCGCUGAGGAACACCAUGGCCCGGGUCUGCGCCUCGAUGAGGGCGGGCUGCUGGCUGUCUUCUGAGUUGGUGAUUUUGAGGACGUACUCCUCGGCCCCUUCAGCCUCGCCUCCGUCUGAGACCUUCACGUGGAAGUUCUGAUCGUCGUAGCUGGGCAGGGGCCUGACCCACACCGCCUUUAACCCGAACACCUUGUCCACCAGCUCGGCCGCCUCCUCCUCGCCGAACGCCGGCUUGGUGGCUGCCUGCGGCUGGCGGCGGUCUCCAGAAGCCAUCGCGUCUGUGAGAGAAAGACAGAGACUAGAAGAGGUGAGCCGUGCCGUGACACCAGCAGCGAUAACGGUCGCAACAAACAAACC